UCUGGGCGUGGUUCCGGCACACGAGCACCCGGCGGCACCAAUUGGAGCUCGCGCUGGCCGUGGUGUUGUCGGUCACCAUGCUGCCUGUGCUGUACAUGGCUUGGGCGUACGCCUUCUUUCACGUAGCUCCACACGUGAACUGGGCCGUCGCCUUGGUUCUCACCCCUUACCUAAUCUUCCAGACAUCGACCUGGUUGGGAUUCGCAGCCUACAGCUUCUGGAUUUACUACGAUGGAAUGAAAUCCUGGUUGGACACCCACGCCGUCUACAAAUUUAAUCACGAGAAUUCUGUACUUCGAGGCAGAGAAGCCUCCUGCUCCCAUUAACGAAAAUGUCAGGGAUUCAUCGUGGGGCUUCUUAUAAGUACGUCAAGAAUCUCAAAAUCUUACGUGCGUGAACUUCAACGGCUUCAUUCAUAAUGGAAGAGUUGCAUCACCUAAUGCCAUUUCAUGCUGCUAGUUCUCUUUUUGUAAUAUUAUUUCCUAACAUGUCGUGUUCAAUAAAUCGUGAUAAUUCUCAUUCUCA